CACGCUGUAAACGAUGUCGACUUGGAGGUUGUGCCCUUGAGGCGUGGCUUCCGGAGCUAACGCGUUAAGUCGACCGCCUGGGGAGUACGGCCGCAAGGUUAAAACUCAAAUGAAUUGACNNNNNNCCGCACAAGCGGUGGAGCAUGUGGUUUAAUUCGAUGCAACGCGAAGAACCUUACCUACUCUUGACAUCCACGGAACUUGCCAGAGAUGGCUUGGUGCCUUCGGGAACCGUGAGACAGGUGCUGCAUGGCUGUCGUCAGCUCGUGUUGUGAAAUGUUGGGUUAAGUCCCGCAACGAGCGCAACCCUUAUCCUUUGUUGCCAGCACUUCGGGUGGGAACUCAAAGGAGACUGCCGGUGAUAAACCGGAGGAAGGUGGGGAUGACGUCAAGUCAUCAUGGCCCUUACGAGUAGGGCUACACACGUGCUACAAUGGCGUAUACAAAGAGAAGCAAACUCGCGAGAGCCAGCGGACCUCAUAAAGUACGUCGUAGUCCGGAUUGGAGUCUGCAACUCGACUCCAUGAAGUCGGAAUCGCUAGUAAUCGUAGAUCAGAAUGCUACGGUGAAUACGUUCCCGGGCCUUGUACACACCGCCCGUCACACCAUGGGAGUGGGUUGCAAAAGAAGUAGGUAGCUUAACCUUCGGGAGGGCGCUUACCACUUUGUGAUUCAUGACUGGGGUG
rnacentral:rRNA from 1 species